UACGUAGGCAGCGAGCGUUGUUCGGAAUUACUGGGCGUAAAGAGUGUGUAGGCGGUGCUCUAAGUUCGGUGUGAAAUCUCCCGGCUUAACUGGGAGGGUGCGCCGGAAACUGGAGUGCUCGAGCGUGGGAGAGGAAAGCGGAAUUCCUGGUGUAGCGGUGAAAUGCGUAGAUAUCAGGAGGAACACCUGCGGUGUAGACGGCUUUCUGGAUCAUUGCUGACGCUGAGACACGAAAGCGUGGGUAGCAAACAGG
rnacentral:rRNA from 1 species